rnacentral:rRNA from 1 species
UACAGAGGGGGCAAGCGUUAUUCGGAAUUAUUGGGCGUAAAGGGCGCGUAGGCGGCUUUGCAAGUGACGGGUGAAAUCCCUCGGCUUAACCGAGGAACUGCCUGUCAAACUGCAUGGCUUGAGACCGGGAGAGGUGAGUGGAAUUCCCAGGUGUAGCGGUGAAAUGCGUAGAUAUUGGGGAGGAACACCAGUGGCGAAGGCGGCU